UUCUAAGGGAACAUAUUACUUAAAUUAGAGCACAGAAUAGCUUAGAAAGGUCAUUUAAGUCAGCUGGUUAGUGAAGCUCAAGAGACAUGGCUUUCUGGCUUCAAAAUCUUAUUUUUAUUAUAAUUGAAUCAACAAAGAUUGUUAAGUGCUACUAUUUCUGAGGAAGGGGUCACUGCUUGAGGUGCAUAGAAGCCAAUACUAUGGCACUGAUUUUAGAGAGAGAAAAAAAAAAAAAAAAAAAAGACCUUUAUUGCCAGGUCUACUGGCAAGGAGCCCAGAAGCCCAGGGCUCAAAUCUGUCUUUCUUACCUGGGAUUCAGGGUGAAAUUUAAGGGGUUAGGAGAAUUUCAAACUCUGAAGCCGAUUGGCUGCUCCUGAAUCAAUCAUCAAGCUACUUGGGCUCCUGGAAGCCAGGUUUUUCUUAUUGAAGGACUUGCUCUGUAAAGAGCUCUGCUGACAACAUUUCUGUUCUUUGAGUUCUGUAGACUGAUAAUUCUUGUUCUGGGGUCAUCCUCUCUUGCAUAUGCACAAUGAUGUCUCUGUAAAAUAGCUCCAGGUUUGAGUAAUCAACAGCCUGUUUUAAGGAAGCAAAACUGGUUUAAAGUGGUGUAGGGAAAAAGCAAAGUAGCCAAAAUGGUGGAGGCCAGGCUCUCAGCCCACGGCCUCUCGCUCUCACCCCAUGUUUUGUAAAUAUAUGGUUAUGUAACAACUGAGAUCACUUAUAGCAUUGUGAUGCCUGUCAGGAUGUGCCUGCUUGGCCACGGGUCACUGUUGUUCUGUAAGCGUAUAUAAACUCCACCUGAAAAACCCCUUGUGGCCACGUUAUGGCUGUGUGUGCCGGGUCAGCUAUGAGAGAGUACAGCGUGUCUGUGGCUGCUGCACCAGCCAGGAGAAAAUAAACAUGUCUGUAGUUCUUCGAGUUUUCUUCCAGCUUCCCUGCUUGCACCUUGCCCACCCUGGGUUCAGCAAACAGCGAGAUACAGCAAGACAAGUGAUGCUGAUUUGGCUACUUGGGGAUCUAGUUUGUGAAGUUUCUCAGUGGAUCUGAGGACCACAGUGUUUGGAAACCACAGGUGUGGAUAGAGGAAAAGUAUUCAGAAAAGCCAAAGAAUUGAUGCUUUUGAACAGUGGUGCUGGAAAAGACUCUGGAGAGUCUCUUGGACUGCAAGAAGAUUCUAUCAGUCCAUCCUAAAGGAAAUCAGUCCUAAAUAUUCAUUGGAAGGACUGAUGCUGAAGCUGAAACUCCUGUACUUUGGCCACCUGAUGUAAAGAACUGACUCACUGGAAAAAACCCUGAUGCUGGGAAACACUGAAGGCAGGAGGAGAAGGGGACAACAGAGGAUGAGAUGGUUGGAUGGCAUCACUGACUCAAUGGAUAUCAGUUUGAGUCAACUCUGGUAGUUUGUGAUGGACAGGGAGGCCAGGUGUGCUGGAGUCCAUGGGGUUGCAAAGAGUUGGACACAACUGAGUGACCGAACUGAUGCAGAUGAAGUCAAUCAUCAUCAAGAUGAGUAGUUUAAUCACAACAGUGGUGAUUUUGCUUGGGCCACACCCUAGCAUUACCAGGACAUUUUAAACACCUGGACAGCACCCAAACCAAUUAAAUCAGAAUCUGGAGGUGGUUCCAAGUGUCAGUAUUUCAAAAGCUCUGGAAAUGGUGCAGUGCGUAAAUAAGGCUGAGCACCCAUGAACUAAGAUGGAAAUAUAAGGAAUCAGAUUGUGUUAUAUUACAGCUUCUCCUGGACUAUCAGGAUUGUGAGGAUGUUUUGGACUUCAAAAUGACCUGCAUAACUUCACAGCAUCAAUUUCUCUUCAGACCGUGCCUUGCAUUGAAGAAGACAGCAUGAUGAGGAAGCUCAAGAAGUAGGAAAACGAAAAUUUAGGAUGUCAGGAUCAUGAGUCACUCAGUUGCAUUCAACUCUUUGUGACCCCAUGGACUGUAGCCUGCCAGUCUCCCCGGUCCAUGGGGUUUCCAAAGCAAAAAUACUGGAGCGGGUUGCCAUUCCCUUCUCCAGGGGAUCUUCCUGACCCAGUGAUUGAACCUGUGGAAUCUCUACCACUGAGCUACCUGGGAAGCCAAUAUAUGUCAACUGGAUUAGGAGGCAGAAGCAUUCUGUGUACAUUUCUCUCCACUGAUUUUACGUUCCAUCUCCUAAACUCAGAUUACUCAUAUGUGUCAUUUCCUUUAUGC
ensembl:lncRNA